rnacentral:rRNA from 1 species
ACGGAAGGCAGCAGUGGGGAAUAUUGCACAAUGGGGGAAACCCUGAUGCAGCGACGCCGCGUGAGCGAUGAAGUAUUUCGGUAUGUAAAGCUCUAUCAGCAGGGAAGAUAAUGACGGUACCUGACUAAGAAGCCCCGGCUAACUACGUGCCAGCAGCCGCGGUAAUACGUAGGGGGCAAGCGUUAUCCGGAUUUACUGGGUGUAAAGGGAGCGCAGGCGGUUUUUUAAGUCUGAUGUGAAAGCCCGCGGCUCAACUGCGGGACUGCAUUGGAAACUGGAGAACUAGAGUGUCGGAGGGGCAAGUGGAAUUCCUAGUGUAGCGGUGAAAUGCGUAGAUAUUAGGAGGAACACCAGUGGCGAAGGCGAUCUACUGGACGAUAACUGACGCUGAGGCGCGAAAGCGUGGGGAGCAAACAGGAUUAGAUACCCUGGUA